AGCUCCCCACCACCCUGUCCUGCUGAGCCAGUAGCUCUGCUCUCCCGCAGCCAAGGCACAGAACUGAGAACAGGCGCCUAUCCUGAUAGCAGAGAAACUAAACCAUUUUCAUCUUCAGAGAAGUUCUGAGUCAAUCCAGCCAAUAAGGUGUUGGUGGUAGUGGUACAAUAUGAAGACAGAGGACAGCCCCAUGAAGUGAGAAAAUGGAGAGGAGUUUACAAAGUUCUGAAGGAUUCUUUGGAAUCUUCUACCAUCAAAGAUUCAGAGUAUGGCUGGCUCCCAAGCCUUUGACUUCUCAAAUCCACUACAAUGAGGGCGUUAUCUGAACAGGAGAAUGGGCAGGAUCCAUUUCAGGAGGAGUCAAAAUGACCACAUUGGUAAUAUUAGAGAAAUGCAAACUCAAGUAAGAGGCAAAAAACAUAAACAUUUCUCAAUUGGAAAUAGCAUUCAAGAAGUCUGCC